rnacentral:lncRNA from 1 species
CUUUGGCUAAGGAGGGUAGCAAGCGGAGCAAGUUGGCGUGACAACUAUUUUGUUGUCUCUAUCGGAUAAUAUUUUGACCUUUGUAGACUCGGACAAAAAGAAACUACCUUUAAAAAAAUCCGUAAACCGAACUAUCUUUGACCUAGUUGGCGGGGCUGUGGCCAAUGGUAUGUCUAGCACUACUUUAGCUGGAGCUACACCUCCGCUACCAAACUCGUCAUGUCGAUCUACUUAAUUUGCAUUUGAAUGAACUCCAUUAAACCAAAAAAAAAAAAAAAUUACUUUUCCAGCACAUGAAGAUGUCACGUCGAGUCUAUUGUAAAAAUUUAUAUUUGUCCUUUUACUCUUAAAAGAAUUUAUAUUUACCUUUUGCCAUAUAUAUAUUUUUUUUAUAUAUUUGUCUUUAUCAUUCACCUCUGAUUACAUAUUUAUUAUUUAAUUAUUAAUCUUAUGUCCCUAUUUUUAUUAUUCAACUAGAUGGAAAAGCCCGUGCAAGCAUGGACCCAACAAUAACUGUGAAUUUUAUCAUUUUUAUUACUGGAAGGAAGACACUGCAUAAUAAUAUGUAAAUAAUUUAUAGAAGCAUAACUAAUUUUUAUUUAUGAACUAGUUACAUACAAAAACUAUUAACAUGCAGGUUUGGCACACUAAACUGUGAUUGUUACAUCAAAACACAACAACAACAACAAACCCAGUGUAUUCCCACUUAGUGGGGUCUGGGGGGGGUAAGAUGUACGCAGUCCAUACCUCUACCUCUGAUGAAGUAGAAAGGCUGUUUCCGAAAGACCCCCGGCUCAAGUCACGAGAUAUCACACAACACAUAGUACAGCACAGAAGCAGAUGACAUAACAUAGAUACGGCACCCAUAAGGAAUAUAAAACAGAGUAAAGCAGGAAUGCAGGAAUAUACAGCAAAGGAAAGCACACAUAUUCGUAAUAAACAUGGAACACGGAACACGGAACAUUGAAUACGGAAUCAUAACAGGAAUACACCCCCACCAAUUUAUUCCCUACCCUAGCGACCCGAACUGGCCCUAAUCCUCUGCCGUAAUUCGCAUCUUCCAGACCUUCCUAUCUAGGGUCAUGUCCUCGGUGAGCUGUAACUGUUCCAUGUCCCGCCUAAUCACCUCACCCCAGUACUUCUUCGGUCUACCCCUACCCCGUCUAAAACCAUCCAACGCUAGCCUCUCACACCUACGGACCGGGGCAUCCGUGCCCCUCCUCUUCACGUGUCCGAACCAUCUCAAUCGUGCUUCCCGCAUCUUACACUCCACUGAAGUCACACCAACCUUCUCCCGGAUAGUCUCAUUCCGAACUCUAUCCCCUCGGGUCAGUCCACACAUCCAGCGCAACAUCCGCAUUUCUGCCACCUUCAUUUUUUGGAUGUGGGAGUUCUUAACUGGCCAACACUCCGCUCCAUACAGCAAGGCCGGACGGACUACCACCCUAUAGAAUUUGCCUUUAAGCUUGGGCGGCACCUUCUUAUCACACAGCACCCCCGAUGCGAGUUUCCACUUCAUCCAUCCCGCCCCAAUACGGUGCGAGACAUCCUCGUCAAUCUCACCGUUACUCUGGAUCACGGACCCGAGAUACUUGAACUUAUCCCUCUUCCCUACCUCCUGUGCUUCUAGCCUCACUACUACCUCAUUCUCCCGCCUCACGUCAUUAAACUUACAUUCCACAUACUCUGUCUUGGUUCUGCUCACCCUGAACCCUUUAGACUCCAGAGUUUGCCUCCACAACUCUAAUUUGUCAUUCACACCCCCUCGAGUCUCAUCUAUCAGGACUACAUCGUCUGCAAAAAGCAUACACCACGGCACCUCCCCUUGGAUACGCCGCGUCAACACAUCCAUUACUAACGCAAACAAAAAGGGACUAAGAGUAGAUCCCUGAUGCAAUCCUGUCAGGACAGUGAAAUGCUCUGAGUCUCCUCCCGCCGUCCUCACCUGGGUUUUCGCUCCCUCAUACAUAUCCUUAAUUACUCUGAUAUAUGCCUGCGGUACUCCACUCACCUCCAAGCAUCUCCAAAGCACUUCCCUGGGGACUUUGUCGUACGCCUUUUCCAGGUCGAUGAACACCAUGUGCAGAUCCUUCUUCCUCUCCCUAUACUGCUCCACCAACCUCCGUACCAGGUGGAUUGCCUCCGUCGUCGAGCGGCCGGGCAUAAAUCCGAACUGAUUUUCCGAGAUAGACACUAUCCGUCUCAGCCUCACCUCGACCACUCUCUCCCAGAUCUUCAUAGAGUGACUCAGUAACUUAAUCCCCCUAUAGUUAUUGCAACACUGAAUGUCCCCCUUAUUCUUAUAGAGGGGGAUCAUGGUACUCCACCUCCACGCCUCGGGCAUCUUUGCCGUCCUGAAAAUUUCAUUGAACAAAGCAGUCAACCACCUUACACCAGCCUCUCCAACGAACUUCCAAAACUCCACCGGUAUCUCAUCCGGCCCCGUCGCCCUACCCCUUCGCAUCCUGCGGACUGCCUGUCUAACCUCGUCUACAUCAAAACACAAAAAAUUUAUUUAUGUAGCCAACUAUAUAAUGCUGGUAUAGACAAGCUAAAUUCAUCUGUACAAGCUAUAUCAUGUGAUGAAGCUGGUAGAGGCUACCAAAAUGUAGUUGUACAUGCUAUACCGCCUAUGCGAGU